GAUGAAGAACGUAGCGAAAUGCGAUAAGUAAUGUGAAUUGCAGAAUUCAGUGAAUCAUCGAAUCUUUGAACGCACAUUGCGCCCGCCAGUAUUCUGGCGGGCAUGCCUGUUCGAGCGUCAUUUCAACCAUCAAGCCCCAGGCUUGUGUUGGGGACCUGCGGCUGCCGCAGGCCCUGAAAACCAGUGGCGGGCUCGCUGUCACACCGGGCGUAGUAGAUUUUAUCUCGCUCAGGGUGUGCUGCGGGUUCCGGCCGUUAAAAAGCCUUUUUUACCCAAGGUUGACCUCGGAUCAGGUAGGAAGACCCGCUGAACUUAAGCAUAUCAAUAAGCGGAGGA
rnacentral:misc_RNA from 1 species